UACGGGGGGAGCAAGCGUUGUUCGGAUUUACUGGGCGUAAAGGGCGCGUAGGCGGCGCAACAAGUCACUUGUGAAAUCUCCGGGCUUAACCCGGAAAGGUCAAGUGAUACUGUUGUGCUAGAGUGCGGAAGGGGCAACUGGAAUUCUCGGUGUAGCGGUGAAAUGCGUAGAUAUCGAGAGGAACACCUGCGGCGAAGGCGGGUUGCUGGGCCGACACUGACGCUGAUGCGCGAAAGCCAGGGGAGCGAACGGG
rnacentral:rRNA from 1 species